rnacentral:tRNA from 1 species
GGGCCGCUAGCUCAGUCGGUAGAGCAGUAGACUCUUAAUCUAUUGGUCGACGGUUCGACCCCGUCGCGGCCCACCA